UACGUAGGGUGCAAGCGUUAAUCGGAAUUACUGGGCGUAAAGCGUGCGCAGGCGGUUGUGCAAGACAGAUGUGAAAUCCCCGGGCUUAACCUGGGAACUGCAUUUGUGACUGCACGGCUAGAGUGUGUCAGAGGGGGGUAGAAUUCCACGUGUAGCGGUGAAAUGCGUAGAUAUGUGGAGGAAUACCGAUGGCGAAGGCAGCCCCCUGGGAUAACACUGACGCUCAUGCACGAAAGCGUGGGGAGCAAACAGG
rnacentral:rRNA from 1 species